rnacentral:rRNA from 1 species
CCAGACUCCUACGGGAGGCAGCAGUGGGGAAUAUUGGGCAAUGGGCGCAAGCCUGACCCAGCAACGCCGCGUGAAGGAAGAAGGCUUUCGGGUUGUAAACUUCUUUUAUGAGGGACGAAAGAAAUGACGGUACCUCAUGAAUAAGCCACGGCUAACUACGUGCCAGCAGCCGCGGUAAUACGUAGGUGGCAAGCGUUAUCCGGAUUUACUGGGUGUAAAGGGCGUGUAGGCGGGACUGCAAGUCAGAUGUGAAAAUUAUGGGCUCAACCCAUAACCUGCAUUUGAAACUGUAGUUCUUGAGUGAUGGAGAGGCAGGCGGAAUUCCGUGUGUAGCGGUGAAAUGCGUAGAUAUUAGGAGGAACACCAGUGGCGAAGGCGACUUUCUGGACUGUACCUGACGCUGAGGCGCGAAAGCGUGGGUAGCGAACGGGAUUAGAUACCCUUGUA